rnacentral:tRNA from 1 species
GUCGCUUAGCCACUGCACGGGACUCAAAAUCCCCCGCCGCAAGGCGUGCCGGUUCGAUUCCGGCCCCGGGCACCA